AUGUCAUACAUCACACGUCACGGCAUGUUCCUACAACGAACGUUAAUUUUCACUGCGCAUGCCUGGAGGAGAGAUGAGUGCCCCGAAGAUUGUCCGUUUCGCGUUUAAGGAUUUCACCUGCAUUGGCAGAAAAUGGAGUGCAAAAUGCUCCAUAUGUAACAGAACAAUUGAGGAGACAUUGGGGAGUACUUCCUCAACUUCUGUUCACAUUAAGGUGGGAUAACGUUAGCAUCUAUUUUUUUCAACACAGUGUGCUUACAGCUUAGCAAGGAGUCCAGUAGGUUAUUGUAACGCUAACAGUCCUUCAUUAGAUGGUUUCUGUUUUAUAUUUUCUUUGUUUCUGUAUUUUGUAGAUAUAACACUUACAAAUACAUUAAAUUAACAGAACAAAAAACGAGAAAAUGCUUAUUGUGACUGUAUAUCCUAACUUCAUUAAAAGUGGCACGUUAUGUUAAGUUAACGUUAGCAGAUCUACUACUGUUACCAAAGAUCUUGGAGCGUAGCGCUCUAUCUUUGCUUUUACCGUCAUACAAGUUAGUGGGAAAAGGAAUUACAUCACCCUAUCACCGAUUUUGAUGUGCUAGUUAAGUAAAGGAAUAAUGGACGACGAGGUGGUAAAACGGUCAGCAGAGAAGUAGUUCUAAUUCAAAAGAAUAGACAAGGGUUGAGGCCAAAGCCGUUUGUUGAGGCGAUGUAGAAGCUACAUUACGUUGAUGCCUGCUCAGAAGGAAAUGACAUUCGCUACCUUUCACAGUAGAUCUAAUCGCUACAAGUGUUCCUUUACCUAUAUCUGCCAGCGCGGUAGGAAAAACUGCAGCACAUCAUUUUACUGGGGACAUCAUUUUAAUUUGUGGCUAACAGUUACUUGAAGAGGUUAUUGUUGUUGUUGAAAUAUUAAAUGAACUAGUACAUGAACUAGUUUAAAUUUGAAAUUAGGAACUAUGAUUGUGAAUUUAUUCAAUUUAAUCUGUAUGAACUGAACUUUAGGUUUGAAUUUUGAGAUUAAAUGAACCAACUCUGGCUAUGGUUAUGCCUGCUGGUCAAAGCCUAAAUCCUAAAUUGGGCUCUUGUCACAUUUUCCCCAUUGUCCAGCUGAGCUACAUAUUACUAAUGUGGGCAAAUAAAUACAUUAAUAAUAGGCCUAUAAUAUUCUUGUUGAUAUGAAAUUUUAAAGCUGUUUGGCAUCAGGAGCUAAAUGUUUAUCCUAUCUCCCCAUAUAGGUUCCAAGAAUACCAGACUUCACCCACUGUGUCACAACCUGCUACCUCAACCACCAUUAAAUCAUUCUUUGGACAGAACAUCUGUGCCAGACCCUGCUUUCGGUUUCCAGUGGCUGGAACAUGAUGUGCAACUGGACUGUCUCAGCAAAGAACGUUUGAAGAAUGAGAUCAAAGAGUACAUAAAGGCAGAGGGGGACGACCAAGUGCCACCAACAGAUGCAGACACUGGACCAGAGGAAAGUGAUGCAACAGUGACAGAGUUUCCUCCUGAAAAACAGCCAAGACUGUUCUCCCACCACAGGAACACUCUCCCUUCUGCCGAGAAGCCUUCUUUGCAGGCUCAACUGAUUGCAUACCUCCACUUGAUUGCAGAGGAGAACGUUACCUCAAUCUCAUGCCUCAAAUUUUGGCAACAAAACAAAUCCAAAUUCCCUGCCCUUAUUCAGAUUGCAACAAAGGUGUUCUCCAUUUCUGCCUCCAGUGCGCCCAUUGAAAGAGUAUUCAGUCAAGGCGGCAUUUUAAUGAGGCCUCAUCGGGCAAGGUUGGGUAGUAGCAUGGUGUCGGACCGAAUGUACUUGAAAUGCAACAUGUCUGUGUAACAUGAUUAUGCUUGCGAGUUAGAGAGUUAUAGAGAAUAUUUUUGUAUGUUAUGUUUUUUGAAGUUAACAAAAUAAGUAAAAGCUAAUUGGAAGCAAAUACUGGUGUGGCAGACUUCUUUGACAUAUAUUGUUAGGCCUGUUCCUUGGCCCAGCACCAA